rnacentral:sRNA from 1 species
CAGCUGCAGCUGCAGCUGCAGCUGCAGCUGCAGCUGCAGCUGCAGCUGCAGCUGCAGCUGCAGCUGCAGCUGCAGCUGCAGCUGCAGCUGCAGCUGCAGCUGCAGCUGCAGCUGCAGCUGCAGCUGCAGCUGCAGCUGCAGCUGCAGCUGCAGCUGCAGCUGCAGCUGCAGCUGCAGCUGCAGCUGCAGCUGCAGCUGCAGCUGCAGCUGCAGCUGCAGCUGCAGCUGCAGCUGCAGCUGCAGCUGCACUAUUUU